AUGGCUGGCGGCUUUCGGGUGCUGCAUCUUGUCAGGCCCUUCUUGGCUUUCUUGCCGGAAGUGCAGAGUGCUGACAGGAAAAUACCAUUUAGAGAAAAAGUGAUCUACUGGAUGCGUGUUAUUCUUGCAUCAAACCGUGGUACUGUCAUGGAACUGGGUAUUACCCCAAUUGUGACAUCUGGAAUGGUUAUGCAACUUCUAGUGGGAUCCAAGAUUAUUGAAGUUGACAACAGUGUGAGAGAGGAUCGUGCUCUGCUGAAUGGUGCACAGAAAUUGCUGGGUAUCCUGAUUGCCAUUGGGGAAGCUGUGGCAUAUGUUCUGUCUGGAAUGUAUGGCAGUGUGAGCCAACUUGGAACUGGAAAUGCCAUUCUCAUCAUACUUCAGCUUUUCUUUGCUGGCAUCAUUGUCAUCUGUCUAGAUGAACUUCUCCAGAAAGGCUAUGGUUUGGGUUCUGGCAUUUCUCUCUUCAUUGCUACCAAUAUCUGUGAGAAUAUCAUUUGGAAGGCAUUCAGCCCUACCACCAUCAACAGUGGACGUGGUGCUGAAUUUGAAGGGGCUGUCAUUGCAUUGUUCCAUCUGUUGAUUACUCGAUCAGACAAAGUCCGUGCCCUACGAGAAGCUUUCUACCGUCAGAAUCUGCCAAAUGUGACCAAUUUGCUUGCUACUGUCCUGGUCUUUCUCAUAGUUAUCUAUUUCCAAGGCUUCCGCGUUGUGCUUCCAGUGAGGUCAAAGAAUGCUCGUGGGCAGCAAGGUUCAUACCCAAUUAAGCUGUUCUACACUUCCAACAUGCCCAUCAUUCUGCACUCUGCCCUUAUUACCAACCUGUAUUUCAUAUCCCAGCUUCUCUACAGGAAGUACAGUGGAAACUUUCUGGUUAACCUUCUCGGUAUAUGGAAAGAAUCUGAAUAUUCUGGCCAUUCUAUCCCUGUUGGUGGUCUUGCUUACUAUGUAACUGCACCAUCAAGUAUGGCUGAUAUUCUGGCGAAUCCAUUCCAUGCAUUGUUCUAUGUGGUCUUCAUGCUGUCAGCAUGUGCUCUCUUCUCAAAAACAUGGAUUGAAGUCUCUGGUUCAUCAGCCAAGGAUGUUGCGAAGCAGCUGAAGGAACAACAAAUGGUGAUGCCAGGCCAUCGUGAGUCAAACCUGCAGAAGGAACUGAACAGAUACAUCCCUACUGCCGCUGCAUUUGGUGGAGUGUGCAUCGGCGCAUUGACUGUUCUCGCUGAUUUCAUGGGCGCAAUUGGUUCAGGAACCGGUAUUCUGUUGGCUGUUACCAUCAUAUACCAGUACUUUGAGACCUUCGAGAAGGAGAGGGCGACAGAGCUUGGUUUCUUCGGGUUUUGA
rnacentral:rRNA from 1 species